rnacentral:tRNA from 1 species
GGAUUGUGGCUCAGCGGUAGAGUUGCUUGCCUAGCACGCUCGGGGCCCUGGGUUCGAUCCUCAGUACCA